GAGUUUGAUUCAGGGCUCAGGACGAACGCUGGCGGCGUGCCUAAUACAUGCAAGUAGAACGCUGAAGAGAGGAGCUUGCUCUUCUUGGAUGAGUUGCGAACGGGUGAGUAACGCGUAGGUAACCUGCCUUGUAGCGGGGGAUAACUAUUGGAAACGAUAGCUAAUACCGCAUAACAAUAGGUGACACAUGUCAUUUAUUUGAAAGGGGCAAUUGCUCCACUACAAGAUGGACCUGCGUUGUAUUAGCUAGUAGGUGAGGUAACGGCUCACCUAGGCGACGAUACAUAGCCGACCUGAGAGGGUGAUCGGCCACACUGGGACUGAGACACGGCCCAGACUCCUACGGGAGGCAGCAGUAGGGAAUCUUCGGCAAUGGGGGCAACCCUGACCGAGCAACGCCGCGUGAGUGAAGAAGGUUUUCGGAUCGUAAAGCUCUGUUGUAAGUCAAGAACGAGUGUGAGAGUGGAAAGUUCACACUGUGACGGUAGCUUACCAGAAAGGGACGGCUAACUACGUGCCAGCAGCCGCGGUAAUACGUAGGUCCCGAGCGUUGUCCGGAUUUAUUGGGCGUAAAGCGAGCGCAGGCGGUUUGAUAAGUCUGAAGUUAAAGGCUGUGGCUCAACCAUAGUUCGCUUUGGAAACUGUCAAACUUGAGUGCAGAAGGGGAGAGUGGAAUUCCAUGUGUAGCGGUGAAAUGCGUAGAUAUAUGGAGGAACACCGGUGGCGAAAGCGGCUCUCUGGUCUGUAACUGACGCUGAGGCUCGAAAGCGUGGGGAGCGAACAGGAUUAGAUACCCUGGUAGUCCACGCCGUAAACGAUGAGUGCUAGGUGUUGGAUCCUUUCCGGGAUUCAGUGCCGCAGCUAACGCAUUAAGCACUCCGCCUGGGGAGUACGACCGCAAGGUUGAAACUCAAAGGAAUUGACGGGGGCCCGCACAAGCGGUGGAGCAUGUGGUUUAAUUCGAAGCAACGCGAAGAACCUUACCAGGUCUUGACACCCCGAUGCUAUUUCUAGAGAUAGAAAGUUACUUCGGUACAUCGGUGACAGGUGGUGCAUGGUUGUCGUCAGCUCGUGUCGUGAGAUGUUGGGUUAAGUCCCGCAACGAGCGCAACCCCUAUUGUUAGUUGCCAUCAUUCAGUUGGGCACUCUAGCGAGACUGCCGGUAAUAAACCGGAGGAAGGUGGGGAUGACGUCAAAUCAUCAUGCCCCUUAUGACCUGGGCUACACACGUGCUACAAUGGUUGGUACAACGAGUUGCGAGUCGGUGACGGCAAGCUAAUCUCUUAAAGCCAAUCUCAGUUCGGAUUGUAGGCUGCAACUCGCCUACAUGAAGUCGGAAUCGCUAGUAAUCGCGGAUCAGCACGCCGCGGUGAAUACGUUCCCGGGCCUUGCACACACCGCCCGUC
rnacentral:rRNA from 1 species